CACGUAGGGGGCGAGCGUUGUCCGGAUUUAUUGGGCGUAAAGAGCUCGUAGGCGGUUCGGCAAGUCGGGUGUGAAAUUUCGAGGCUCAACCUCGAAACGCCACUCGAUACUGCUGUGACUGGAGUCCGGUAGAGGAGUGCGGAAUUCCUGGUGUAGCGGUGAAAUGCGCAGAUAUCAGGAGGAACACCAACGGCGAAGGCAGCACUCUGGGCCGGUACUGACGCUGAGGAGCGAAAGCUAGGGUAGCAAACGGG
rnacentral:rRNA from 1 species